rnacentral:rRNA from 1 species
CCUACGGGUGGCUGCAGUGGGGAAUAUUGGACAAUGGGCGAAAGCCUGAUCCAGCCAUGCCGCGUGUGUGAAGAAGGCCUUCGGGUUGUAAAGCACUUUCAGUGGGGAAGAAAGCCUUGGGGCUAAUACCCUCGAGGAAGGACAUCACCCACAGAAGAAGCACCGGCUAACUCCGUGCCAGCAGCCGCGGUAAUACGGAGGGUGCGAGCGUUAAUCGGAAUUACUGGGCGUAAAGCGCGCGUAGGCGGUCUGAUAAGCCGGUUGUGAAAGCCCCGGGCUCAACCUGGGAACGGCAUCCGGAACUGUCAGGCUAGAGUGCAGGAGAGGAAGGUAGAAUUCCCGGUGUAGCGGUGAAAUGCGGAGAGAUCGGGAGGAAUACCAGUGGCGAAGGCGGCCUUCUGGACUGACACUGACGCUGAGGUGCGAAAGCGUGGGUAGCAAACAGGAUUAGAUACCCUGGUAGUC